rnacentral:pre_miRNA from 1 species
AAAUUAUCGAAUGAGAGAUGAGAGUUUGUGAUAAUCUUCAUUUUAGAAUUUAACAAAUGAGGAGUCACAGACUUGAUCUUUCGCUCGAUUGCUC